rnacentral:tRNA from 1 species
GCCUCGGUAGCUCAAUUGGUAGAGCGUUGGCACAGUAAGCCAAAGGUCCAAGGUUCGAGUCCUGGUCGAGGCU